GACGAACGCUGGCGGCGUGCUUAACACAUGCAAGUCGAACGGAAAGGCCCUGCUUGCCGGGUACUCGAGUGGCGAACGGGUGAGUAACACGUGGGUGAUCUGCCCUGCACUUCGGGAUAAGCCUGGGAAACUGGGUCUAAUACCGGAUAGGAGCCAUUUUUAGUGUGAUGGUUGGAAAGUUUUUUCGGUGUAGGAUGAGCUCGCGGCCUAUCAGCUUGUUGGUGGGGUAAUGGCCUACCAAGGCGGCGACGGGUAGCCGGCCUGAGAGGGUGGACGGCCACAUUGGGACUGAGAUACGGCCCAGACUCCUACGGGAGGCAGCAGUGGGGAAUAUUGCACAAUGGGCGCAAGCCUGAUGCAGCGACGCCGCGUGGGGGAUGACGGCCUUAGGGUUGUAAACGCCUUUCGCUAGGGACGAAGCUUUUUGUGACGGUACCUAGAUAAGAAGCACCGGCUAACUACGUG
rnacentral:rRNA from 1 species